rnacentral:lncRNA from 1 species
CUUAGUUUCACUACAAACUAAUACAAACUUAUUUCCCCUUAAAAUAUUUCUUCCAUGAUUGAUUAGUCAAGAUGGCAGUCUCAGAUCAAGACUUGCUGAAGAAAUGUCAUUAAUAAUAAUCCUUUUUGCCACAGUAGUAUGACAGUGAAGGCUGAAUACAGACAAAGCUCCUUAUUGGAAGGAGAAGCUCUUGGUGACCUGCAAUUACAAAAAACCUAAAUAACAUUUUCCUUAACUACAGUGGCCAUGGAGAGGGGAGAGAAGAUAGCACAGGUGGAAAAGAGAGAAAAUGAAGAAAAAGGAAAAAAAUAAUCAGAUGCAAGAACAUUAGACACCUGCAUUUCUUUCCUAGGAGCUUCAUAAGCUCAUUGGACUGGAAUAUGCUUUCACCUACAUUUAGCAAAUUCAGGAAAAAUUCUGCUGAAGGCAACAGUUAUAUACAUACAAAAAUUGUAUAAGGCCCACUGUGUCUGCAGACACAAUUCUGUAUAUUCACUAUCUGGCUGUUUUGCAAGUACAGGUACCCUACUGUGUUUCUGUUCCAAUGAAAGAAUCUGGAAGCACUUCAAAAUAACAAAAUCUCCCUAGUCCUUUGAAGCUGGCCUUUGAACCUACUGAGACAGCUGGUAGCGACAUGGUGUGGGCAUGGUAUUACCCUGGUUUCCUAUUGAAGAGCUGUAUAUGGAUGACAAAAGGAGAAAGAGCAUUACUACACAAGGCCAUUUGAAGAGGAAACACAAGUUAUUAUGGGGGAAAUAUGGAGCACCUUUUCAGUUUUUUUAUGUUGGUGAGGGACUUAGAAAUCCAAGAAGUCCUUGGAAGGAUAUACAUUUCAAGGUUAUCAGGUAAAAUGAACGAACAAGGAAACUGACAAAAACUAUGAGAUAAAACUUAUACUGUCUCAAAAAUAAUUGGUGUAUAUAUAUAAUAUUUAAACAUAUAAAUAAUAUAAUAAAUAAAUAAAUAAAUAAAUAAAUAUUCUAUCA